rnacentral:lncRNA from 1 species
GGCUCCAGACGCAUAAGCCUGUGUGGAGCGCAGCGUCGCUGAGCAAGACAGGUGUGGAGGAUGAGAAGCGGGGCCACAAGAUGGGAAGGGAAUCUGUGUGGAGAUGGUGCCCUAAACAUGCUGCCUUGAGGAGGGACCUCUGCAUGGGGUGGCCGGGCACAGCCAGGCUACCCAUGGGGACCUCAACAGCUUUGCCAUUGCACACUGUCUUUGCAGACAAGAUCUUAAUCACAUCCAACUUUCUGCAGUUGCGCAGGGUACCUCAGACCCACAUCCCAGAUGACAUUGCUCAGAAGCUCGCAGCUGGAGAUGAUAUCACCUUAGACAACAUCACCCUAGCCCAAGACAUCGCUAUUAGAGAUACAUCACCUGGACACUAAAGCCUCCACCCCAGUGACACCCAUGCAAUGCCUCUCUCAGGGUGCUGACAAAAUGGACAUGGACAUUUGUUGCUUUUCUUCUUUUGAAUUAGGAACUCUAUUGUGUUUCCUGAAUGUACUGUCUGCUUGGCCCGUGAUCCUGGUAUGUUCCUUGCUGUCUGCCAAAACAUGCACCCUCCCCUCCACACCUAAAGGAAAAUCUGCUAGAAGCUACUACUCUCAAUGCCAUUCUAAA